CAUGCAAGUCAUGGGGGCCCGCAAGGGCAACCGGCGAACGGGUGCGUAACACGUGAGCAAUCUGCCUAAGAUGUGGGGGAUAGCCGGCCCAACGGCCGGGUAAUACCGCAUACGCUCUCCGGGUGGCAUCACCUGGUGAGGAAACCUUCGGGGCAUCUAGAGGAGCUCGCGGCCUAUCAGCUAGUUGGUGAGGUAAUGGCUCACCAAGGCUUUGACGGGUAGCUGGUCUGAGAGGAUGGCCAGCCACAUUGGGACUGAGAUACGGCCCAGACUCCUACGGGAGGCAGCAGUGGGGAAUAUUGCGCAAUGGCCGAAAGGCUGACGCAGCGACGCCGCGUGGGGGAUGAAGCAUUUCGGUGUGUAAACCCCUGUUGCUCGGGACGAACAACCUUUUUCGAGAGGUCUGACGGUACCGGGUGAGGAAGCACCGGCUAACUCCGUGCCAGCAGCCGCGGUAAUACGGAGGGUGCGAGCGUUGUCCGGAAUCACUGGGCGUAAAGGGCGCGUAGGCGGUCUGCUAAGCGUGCGGUGAAAGCCUGGGGCUCAACCCCAGGUCUGCCGUGCGAACUGGUGGACUUGAGCACUGUAGAGGCAGGUGGAAUUCCGGGUGUAGCGGUGGAAUGCGUAGAGAUCCGGAAGAACACCGGUGGCGAAGGCGGCCUGCUGGGCAGUUGCUGACGCUGAGGCGCGACAGCGUGGGGAGCAAACAGGAUUAGAUACCCUGGUAGUCCACGCCGUAAACGAUGGGCACUAGGUGCUUGGGGGAGCGACCCCCCGAGUGCCGGCGCUAACGCAUUAAGUGCCCCGCCUGGGGAGUACGACCGCAAGGUUGAAACUCAAAGGAAUUGACGGGGGCCCGCACAAGCGGUGGAGCAUGUGGUUUAAUUCGACGCAACGCGAAGAACCUUACCUAGGCUUGACAUGUAUGGGAAAGCCUCUGGAAACAGAGGCCCCUCUUCGGAGCUCAUGCACAGGUGCUGCAUGGCUGUCGUCAGCUCG
rnacentral:rRNA from 1 species